UUCCAAAACCCCCCCGCCAAACCAAGAAAAAAAGGAAAGGCAACAAACAUGGUAUCAGCAGUUCAGCACAAGCACUGUUAACAAAAAUAAGGAACAGUUCUACAAAAACUGAGAAGAACUGACCUGAAUGGUUUGACUUCAAAUCCCACAAUUCUUGCAUAAUCUGUUUGGAUGUCCCUAUGAUACUUGACAGUAAAUGCCAAAUGAUUGUGGAUAAAAUACUUUUCAUCCUUGGUCUGCAUCAAUCAUACACAAUUAAGCAAAAACAAAUACUAGGGAAUUCAAGAAUAUCUAUACAGAGAGAGAGUUCUAUGGCUGAUAAAUAAUGGAUAUACCCCAGUAUAUUGGCCUUUCAGGCCAACAUGAAAGCCAAGCUGAUAAACAGUAGGAGAUUCCUGAUCCACCCUUCUAAUGGGAAAAACGAGGGGAAGAUUAUCGAGAAUCCUGUAAAAUGAAUGGUAUAUUAAUUAGAAAGGGAACUCCAAAAUAAUUCUCAUAGAAAUAAGAAGCUAUUUUCAAAUGGCUGACUAAAACAAUCCCUUACAUGUUAACCCGAUAUUCGUCAUCAAUCUUUUCCUUGAAUGCCUUUGCAGUUUUAGCGUCAAGGCUAAGCCGACAAAUAACAUUGCACAUUUGAGGUUCCCUCAUUUUAAACUGCAAGGAAUCAAUUAAGCAAAAUGUCAAUAACCAUAAAUUAAUCACAACAGCCAGAGACUGAUUAAACUGUAAGUAGAAACUAACCACAUAAGGGGAGUUUUCAAUGCGGUCACCACGAAGCACUUCUCCAAGGUUCUCUGCACUGUCCACGAUUUUCUUUGGUCGACAGUAUGGAAUAGAGUAAUACGAGUAAGGAAGCUGUGUCUUCGUAGAGGUCAAUUUGUUGACUUUCACAUACAAUUCAUCUCCCUGCGUAUGAAACAAAAAUUAAAUCAAACAAUUUCUCAAAGGAUUCUUAAAGGACUUCAACAGCUCUCAAGAGCAAAUCCUAAUACACUGAUUCAUAUAUUUCACUUCAAUUUUUCAUUAAGCCUAAUUACCAAACUCUCGCACUAUCUUCAAUUAUAAAAGGACUCACAAGCAUGACAGAUAGACAACAUGGACUAAAGUGAAUCUCAAGAGCGUAAAACACAAACAGCUUGCGGCAUUUAUUAGUUACAACAACUUCGUUUCAUUCAGUGGCGGCAAUCCACAUUCAAACAACUAAAAGAAUGUAAAAAGCCCAAACACAUUUCACUGUUUGCAGCAAUUUUUCACAAAUCCUAUUCCCAAACGAUUCGUCAUUCAUCUGAAUCUAAACUGUUGACCAAUUAAUCAUAUUUAAUCAACCAGAUUUAUAAGACAAAGCAAUCAGUCACUCAAAUGCAAUCAUGCAUUAUUACUCGAAAUCCAGAAUCCAGAUACAUCUAUGCAUUCCUAAUCCAUCAAAUUACAAAAUCACCCGCGAAUAACCACCAAUGAAACCAUAAGCCCCUCAUUAACUUGUAUCAGUGAUACUAGACACGAACAGCUACCUAGACAACCUCUUCCAUUCAAACUGACAAUUUUCUGUUCUCCUUUAGUGCAUUGGCUUUUUCGUUUUCAAACGUCCAAUUGUAUCAUGCUGCCUCGAGUUGUAUUGUACGUAUAGAUAAUUUGCAAGAAAUCUAUAUUAUUACAUAUGUUCACGUAAUGCAGUGAACAGAUUAGAUUUGGAUAAAUCAAUGCUGCAGCUUCUCAUUUAAUUAUUUAUACACGCAAAUCAAACAGUCAACAAUGCGAAUAUCAGUCGACGUAGAUCCGAAAUUCUAUUGCUGAUCAAUCAAAACAAAUGAAAGCGAAAAUGCGUGGACAUACCUUCACGAAGUCCUGAGGAGCGACGCCGGGGAGGUAGAAAGAGUGGGAGCCGUGGAUCAGAAGGAGAACAACGAAAGUCGCGAUCGCCGUCGUCGCCGACGUGGAUCUCGUUCGAGAUUUCAUUUUUGUUUUUUCAGAGAAGAGACUCUCUCUCUCUCUCUCUCUCUCUCUCUCUCUCUCUCUCUCUCUCUAUCACUCGAAUUUUUAGAUCUGGAUGCUGGAGUUGUUGUUUGUGUAAUUUUUUAAAUGGAGGAGAGACAAGUAGAAGACGAGAGGUGAGGUGAAGCUGG
rnacentral:lncRNA from 1 species